CUGAGUCUCUGCAGAUUCAAUUUGGCAUCAAAUAACAGCCCAUUCUUCUCUGCCACAUUGGUCAUUUGGAACUGAUGAGGAGACAGAUAGCACUUUAGCUGCACAGAAGAAGAAAGAAGUGCUCUAAGGUGACAUUUUGUUUUGAAAGAAGUCUGGAGAUGCGUUGGCUAACAUGCAAGACAAGCAAACUGCUCUCAGAAGAGACCUCACUUAUGCAAAGAAGGCAGCCAGAGGCAGAUGCCAAAUUCAAAGUGGGACCUUGGCAAAUAUGCAUCUUCUACAGACCUGCAGAAUUAAACCCAGGGCAGGCCUCCCUGUCACACCAGCAGGAGUAGAGCAGGGGCUCCGGGUGAAGAGUUUGAUCCAAGAAGAAGAAAAGAGAACAGGAAUGAUUUAUGCAUGCCCGGUGUACCCUUUCAGUUCAUUUACCGGGUAAAUAUUUUCCCCGAAAAAAGAGGGAUCCGGUAUAGAAAGGCUAGAAACAUCAAGUCAUCAGAGCUCCCCAAGAAUGGAAAAAGGAGUGGAGAGAAAGUGUUACUGCACAUCUUUAUAAGAACUAAAAAUUGGAAUUUUUCAAACUUCUUAAUAAUGUAAUAAGUAACAAAUGGUAUCUAAUUGUUUCAAGUUUCUACUUCUGAUUACUAAUGAAGUUGAACAUUUUCCUCAACAUUUAAAAAUUGGUUGGUGAAUCAUCUGUUCAUAUGUCUUGGAGCUUGAGUAUUUUUCUUAUCUAUUUGUAUGAUUUCUUUAUGUAAUUCAAAUAAUCUUUUAUUGUACUUUCUGUUAAUAUUUUUGGCAAUGUUUUGCCUUUUAAUUUGGGGAUAUAAAAUAAAUUUAUGUAAUCAAAUCUAU
rnacentral:lncRNA from 1 species